GUCUACGGCCAUACCACCCUGAAUGCGCCCCAUCUUGUCUGAUCUCAGAAGUUAAGCAGGGUCAGGCCUGAUUAGUACUUAGAUGGGAGAAAUGCAUUUAUUAAAUUUUAUUAUAGACA
rnacentral:rRNA from 1 species